AAUCAGGCCGCUUUGCUUCGCACUGCCCUCAGAGAAGCAGUGUGCCCAGAAGUCAAGUGUGAGCUCUUGAGUCAAAAUGCUUGGAUUUGAAUUCCAACUCUGCUGCUUACCAGCUGUGUGACAUGGGGUGAGUGAGUUACCUGACCUCUCUGUACCUCUAUGUCAUCAUCUUUAAAAUGGAGGAAGAGGCCGGGCCACUUUCUGGAGAAAGCCAUGCCAGACAGUGAGAAACAUCUGAAGCCACAGGGCCGUGAGGCCUCCGUGGGGAGGUGCCUUUCUUGGCUCAGCGGUGACCACUGGAAUGCAGCGACUGACCCUUUGCCCCUGGGUGACUUCUGAAGCCUCAAGAAGGUGAAUGAGGGAUUUUGACCCCGUUUCCUCCUAACUCAGUGCCAUGUGCGCUGCUUUGCUUUUCUCUGCCUGGGAACCUUCCCCACUCUGUCAGGUCACAUGCUCGUGCCGCAAGGCUCAUGUGCCAUGUCCUCUGAAGGACGGCAUCUCUGACCCAUUCUGCCUGACAGGCAGCUGACCAUCUGUGCCCACACUGUACCUGGU
rnacentral:lncRNA from 1 species